rnacentral:misc_RNA from 2 species
AACGCAAGUUGCGCCCCAAGCCUUCUGGCCGAGGGCACGUCUGCCUGGGUGUCACAAAUCGUCGUCCCCCCAUCCUCUCGAGGAUAUCGGACGGAAGCUGGUCUCCCGUGUGUUACCGCACGCGGUUGGCCAAAAUCCUAGCUAAGGAUGCCAGGAGCGUCUUGACAUGCGGUGGUGAAUUCAAUUCUCGUCAAAUCGUCAGUCGUUUCGGUCCGAAAGCUCUUGAUGACCCAAAGUCCUCAACGCGACCCCAGGUCAGGCGGGAUCACCCGCUGAGUUUAA